rnacentral:rRNA from 1 species
CCGCUGAAAGCAUCUAAGCGGGAAGCGCGCCUCAAGAUGAGAUCUCCCGGGGCACAAGCCCCCUAAAGGAACCAUCAAGACUAGGUGGUUGAUAGGUCAGGUGUGUAAGCGCAGCAAUGCGUUGAGCUAACUGAUACUAAUGAUCCGUGUGGCUUGACCAUAUAACCUCA